AUAUUUCAUCUAAAGCUAAAUAUUGGCCAGAGACCGAUAGCGCACAAGUAGAGUGAUCGAAAGAUGAAAAGCACUUUGGAAAGAGAGUUAAACAGUACGUGAAAUUGUUGAAAGGGAAGCGCUUGCAAUCAGACUUGCGCCUGGGUAAUCAUCCGGGGUUCUCUCCGGUGCACUUGCUCAGGCUCCAGGCCAGCAUCGGUUUGGGUGGUUGGAUAAAGGCCUUGGGAAUGUGGCUUCGGGGGGUGUUAUAGCCCUCGGUGCCAUGCAGCCUACCUGGACCGAGGACCGCGCUUCGGCUAGGAUGCUGG
rnacentral:rRNA from 1 species